rnacentral:rRNA from 1 species
CGCUCGAUCCGAUCGGGUAGUAGGUAAGCGAUGGGGUGACGCAGGAAGGUAGUCCAGCCCAGGCGAUGGUUGUCCUGGGGUAAGCAUGUAGGGCGUGUCGUAGGUAAAUCCGCGGCAUUUAAGCCUGAGAUGUGAUGCCGAGCCGAUUGUGGUGAAGUGGAUGAUCCUAUGCUGCCGAGAAAAGCCUCUAGUGAGUGUUGUGGCGGCCCGUACCCUAAACCGACUCAGGUGGUCAGGUAGAGAAUACCAAGGCGAUCGGGUGAACUGUGGUUAAGGAACUCGGCAAAUUGCCCCCGUAACUUCGGGAGAAGGGGGACCUCUGUUGGUGAUGGGCUUUACGCCUGGAGCUGGUGGGGGUCGCAGUGGCCAGGGGGAAGCGACUGUUUACUAAAAACACAGGUCCGUGCGAAGUCGUAAGACGAUGUAUACGGACUGACGCCUGCCCGGUGCCGGAACGUUAAGGGGACCGCUUAGCUGACGUGAGUUGGCGAAGGUGAGAACUUAAGCGCCGGUAAACGGCGGUGGUAACUAUAACCAUCCUAAGGUAGCGAAAUUCCUUGUCGGGUAAGUUCCGACCUGCACGAAUGGCGUAACGACUUCCCCGCUGUCUCAACCGCAGACCCGGCGAAAUUGCACUACGAGUAAAGAUGCUCGUUUCGCGCAGCAGGACGGAAAGACCCCGGGACCUUCACUACAGCUUGACAUUGGCGUUUGGAACGUCUUGUGUAGGAUAGGUGGGAGACUGGGAAGCUGUCACGCUAGUGAUGGUGGAGUCAUUGGUGAAAUACCACUCUGGUCGUUUUGAACGUCUAACUCUGGUCCGUGAUCCGGAUCGGGGACAGUGUCUGGUGGGUAGUUUAACUGGGGCGGUUGCCUCCUAAAGAGUAACGGGGGCGCCCAAAGGUUCCCUCAGCCUGGUUGGCAAUCAGGUGUUGAGUGUAAGUGCACAAGGGAGCUUGACUGUGAGACUGACAGGUCGAGCAGGAGCGAAAGCUGGGACUAGUGAUCCGGCAUCGGCGUGUGGAAGCGGUGUCGCUCAACGGCUAAAAGGUACCCCGGGGAUAACAGGCUGAUCUUCCCCAAGAGUCCAUAUCGACGGGAUGGUUUGGCACCUCGAUGUCGGCUCGUCGCAUCCUGGGGCUGGAGUAGUCCCAAGGGUUGGGCUGUUCGCCCAUUAAAGCGGUACGCGAGCUGGGUUUAGAACGUCGCGAGACAGUUCGGUCCCUAUCCGCUGCGCGCGCAGGAGACUUGAAGGGGGCUGUCCCUAGUACGAGAGGACCGGGACGGACGAACCUCUGGUGUGCCAGUUGUACCGCCAGGUGCACGGCUGGUUGGCUACGUUCGGAAGGGAUAACCGCUGAAAGCAUCUAAGCGGGAAGCUCGCCUUGAGAUGAGGUCUCCCACCACGAGAGUGGGUAAGGCUCCCGGUAGACGACCGGGUUGAUAGGCCGGAGGUGGAAGCACGGUAACGUGUGGAGCUGACCGGUACUAAUAGGCCGAGGACUUGACC